GGACACCACGUGUGGCAGGAAAUGGCGUUCCGGUGACUCAGAGCAGAAGGAGUAACAACAACAGGUGGAAAUCCGAAUCUUCACCCAUCAUCAUCAGCUCAUUAAAAAAGAGUUUGAUCCACGAGCCAAAUGCAGAUGUCAGUACUUCCACUGAAGGUAGACAUGGCUUGAAGACCCAGAAGAAUGUGAAGGGAGAACUUGCCCUCGCUUUGGGCCCUCUUGCCACUCUGCCCCUGACAAGCAGUGUGUCUCAGAACUCGCCAAACAUUCUACGCAAGAUCCUGAGGGGAGAGUAUCUGGGGGCCAAAAACAGCACUCACAAACCCGACUGAGAGAAGUGUGCAAGAAGCCUGUCUGUAAUUAUAGGGGAACAUGAAGAAGGAAGGAAGUGAAGUAAUAGUUAUGUUAAGCAAUGACUCAAAGCAAGGCCAUGCAACUACAGCUGGUAUGUAGACAUGCAAUGGACUUUCUCUGUCUGACAGAAGCAGUGUUUUGCUCAUACUUAACUAUUAAGCAUUCCUACUGCCCAGGACCAUUUCUGAAGAGUAAUCUAAUGCUAAAAUAAAGGGACAUUUUAAAGCUCUUACUAUUACUAUAAGAGUUACUCAUUUAAGUUGUAUGACAUAGAUACGGUAUCAUGUUUCUUAAAAUAUACCAGAAAAUAUAAACUUGUGUCACUAGGGUUUCAAUAUAGAUGCUAAUGCAAAAAAAAAAAAUAAUGUCAUAAAAAAAAACAAGAAAGGUUAACAAUUGAAUUGCUCCGAACAGUUGUUUUUUACCAUCGAAAUAAUCCAAACAUUAGGCCUUUCUGAAUAGAACUAAUGUUGUCUUAGUCAUUUUUUUGUUUUGUUUUUCUUUUGAAAUGUCAAACUGUUCCUAGUAUUUUUAUUCCUAUUAGGAUCGCAUUGUCUGAACUGUUCUGUGUGAUGUACUGUGUAACCAUUCAUAACAUGUGAAAAAUGUGAAAGCUCUUGCUUGUAAUAUGUUACAAUAAUACAAAAAGAAAAUCUCAUUAUGAACAACUUCUCUGGCAAAAUGUUCUGGUGUCCAUGAACUCUAAUUUAAUAUGUCUGGCAUGUAAUUUAUAAUUCUGUAAUUCUUUGUCAAAUUCAAGUAUUAUGGAUAUUGUACAAUACAAAUGAAAAGUUUGGUGAUAGUGUUGUUAAGGUGGUUUGUCUCUCAUGUUAUUUGAAAUAGGACUUCAAAUUUGUUGUAUUAUAGAAACACACAAGACAAAAAAAAUGGUCUGUAUUCUAUACACACAUUGAAUUGCUGUGACACCUGAUUGAAUCAGCGUAAAAGCUACAUCUCAGAAGCACACAUUUGAUGAGGCUUUGUAUGGACAUUUGUUACAAGACAUUAUGGCAUAAAUGUUGCUUUGUAAAUCAGUUUCUCAGAAAAUAAAAUGGAAGUUUGUACAUAUAUAGGGUGCUAUGUGGCACAGUGGGUGAAUGCACCAACAAAAAGUCUAUUGCAUGUGUACCAGUAUGUC